rnacentral:lncRNA from 1 species
GGUGACUUCUGAAGCUGAACGUUUACUGGUUACCCAACUUGCGUACACGCUGUCGACGUCGCUUGAAUAAGACGUCAUACAAGAAUUGUCAUAUUAGCAAGGCGUAUGGGUUGGGUGAGUCUCUUGGCGUCCUGGGUAGCUUGUGCCUGGUGGUAGUCGUAGUGCUGUUCCUAAUGCAGAGAUGGCGAAAAUGCAUUUGAUUUUAUCCACAUCUCUCUGUAUUGUUUAUGGGGUUAGUGUUGCCUUUACACACGACGCUUGGCGUGUAGGAACUUGAUCGCAGUAACGACGUUUGGUUUUGAAGAUCUAGAAGUUAGUUCAACACGUGGUACGGUCGCAUGUAUGCUGCAUCAAUUGAGUCGAUGUCCUGCACGAGGUUAAGAGCGCUGCACCAAAGCCAGGUAACUUUUUAACCUUUUUGUAUUGUUUUUGUCUUUCUGUAAAUUAUUGUUUUGGUAAUCUCAAACGAAUGUAUAGUGAUGAAACCUAAACUGAAAGCUGGAAUUACCGUCAGAUUGUUCAGUGUUGAUAUUUCAGGUUCCUGAAUGCUGUAUCUAAUCAGCGUUAUAGCUUCAUUGAUUGUAGUUUUAGUUGUAUUUAAAUGUUUUAAAUUAUUAUAUAUUUUUUUUUACAUAAAUUCACAGGCUAUGCGCGUGAAUUGUCACAACAUAUAUGGCAUCACAGGCCAUAAGCAUGAAUCCGACAAACAUACUUGGAGCCAAUGCUACUUGCUGGCCAUAAGCAUGAAUCCGACAAACACUUGCAGCCAAUGCUACUUGCUGGUGAGUACUUACUGCGCCUCAUGAUAUUCCAAAGCUUUAUACUUGAUCUAUUUGAUGAUGAAACCCUAACUGAAAGCUGGAAUUACCGUCAGAUUGUUCAGUGUUGAUAAUUCAGGUUCUGAAUGCUGUAUCUAAUCAGCGUUAUAGCUUGAAGCUGUUGGUUGUAUUAAAAAUAAACAAAUAUAUUUAUUUCA